rnacentral:lncRNA from 1 species
UGAGGUACUGGCUAUCUAUACAAGGGGUAGGUAUUUCGUGCAGUAUCAUUUUCCAUGAGGAGAAAUCUCUUGGGAGAAUAAGUUGGUGCCGGUGGCAAAGAGCUGCAGAAAGAAGUGGGCUUUUCUAUACAUCAAUCUGUCUUUACUUUAAUCAUCCUCACGUGCUUUUAUCCUUAACUCUGGUCGAUCUUAUUUAUAUUUAAAUCUAGUUCGAGUACUAAGUAAAACUUAAAUGAUCAAUUUUGAACAUAAUAUUUAGUUAACUGAACGAAAACCAGUAGGAUAAAGAAUUUAAACUCAAUAUGCUGCUUUAACAGUUUCCAAUUUAUGAUUUGUGAAAGUCUUCAAAUAAAAACAAAAUUUAUUUUUUCGUGACAAACUAAGAAUAAUGAGAAAACAAAAUUUAUUGCUUCGUGACAAACUAAGAAUAUUGAGGACUGAGGACAUUUCUGGGUCGCCUUUUUAUUAUUAAUCGACUCAAAAAGGACAGUUAUUCCUAUAUUUAAGUCCUAAUCUUGGUAUGCAGGGGAUUCUUACCUGACUGAGCCAGAAUGUCGUCUUGUCGGUCUGUCCUCCAAUAUCGUAUGUGUAGGUGUUCUAUGAAUCUAUAUUCAGAUCAAAACAAUGAAGCGACGCAUAAUUGACUUAGAGAAAACUACAAGAAGAUAGAUCACUUCAGUGACGGCCAGAAGAGUUUAAAGCAAUUAUAAUGUUUGUUUUACUAGCUUUUUCAUGGACAUGAGAAUUUAAA